GACAGAGGUUGCAAACGUUGUUCGGAAUUACUGGGCAUAAAGCGCACGUAGGCGGUCCGUUAAGUCAUGUGUGAAAUCCCCCGGCUCAACCGGGGAAUUGCGCCUGAUACUGGCGGGCUAGAGGUCGAUAGGGGUGAGCGGAACUCCAGGUGGAGCGGUGAAAUGCGUAGAUAUCUGGAGGAACACCGGUGGCGAAAGCGGCUCACUGGAUCGAAACUGACGCUGAGGUGCGAAAGCUAGGGUAGCAAAACGGGG
rnacentral:rRNA from 1 species